rnacentral:rRNA from 2 species
UGAAGACAAACUACUGCGAAAGCAUUUGCCAAGAAUGUUUUCAUUAAUCAAGAACGAAAGUUAAAGGUUCGAAGGCGAUUAGAUACCGCCCUAGUUUUAACCAUAAACGAUGCCAGCUAGCGAUCUGCGGACGUUUUUUUUGUAGACUCCGCAGGAAGCUUCCGGGAAACCAAAGCAUUUGGGUUCCAGGGGAAGUAUGGUUGCAAAGCUGAAACUUAAAGGAAUUGACGGAAGGGCACCACCAGGAGUGGAGCCUGUGGCUUAAUUUGACUCAACACGGGAAAUCUCACCAGGCCCGGACACUGGAAGGAUUGACAGAUUGAUAGCUCUUUCUUGAUUCGGUGGGUGGUGGUGCAUGGCCGUUCUUAGUUGGUGGAGUGAUUUGUCUGGUUAAU